AUGGUUAAGGCAUUUUGGUGGGGGGGGGGGGAGGGACAUAUAAAGCCAUGUUAUGUGUCAUGGGACGCUAUGAGCAUGCAAAAACACAUGGGAGGCCUAGGGUUUUGUGACCUCAUUUUUAAUAUGACUCUUCUGGCUAGGCAAGUAUGGUGAAUACUAGAAAACCCAGAAGCCUUGAGUUCUAGAAUUUUGGAAGCAAUUUAUCAUCCCGAGGGAUGUUUUCUUGAUGCUACUCUUGGAUCUCACCCGUCUCAAAUAUGGAGGUCCCUGUUGGAAGGGUGUGAUACUUUGAAGCAAGGAAUAAUUAAACGUUUUGGCAAUGGGGCAUCCACCGAAAUAUGAAACACGAACAGGAUCCCGAUGAGACCAAUUGUUUCUUUGUUAGCAGCCCCACCCCAGUUUUGUGUUAGACCUUAUUGA
rnacentral:rRNA from 1 species